rnacentral:rRNA from 1 species
CGUGUAGGCGGUUUUUUAAGUCUGAUGUGAAAGCCCCGGGCCUAACCUGGGAAGUGCAUUGGAAACUGGAAGACUUGAGUACGGGAGAGGGUAGUGGAAUUCCUAGUGUAGGAGUGAAAUCCGUAGAUAUUAGGAGGAACACCGGUGGCGAAGGCGGCUGCCUGGACCGAUACUGACGCUGAGACGCGAAAGCGUGGGGAGCAAACA